rnacentral:rRNA from 1 species
AAACUGGGAUUAGAUACCCCACUAUGCCUAACUGUAAACUGCUAGCCAAAAAAGUACGAGCCCACUUGAAACUUAAAGGACCUGGCGGUACUCUACAUCAGCCUAGAGGGGCCUGUCCUAUAACCGAUAAUCCACGAAAAACCUUACCAUCCCUUGCCACCAGCCUAUAUACCGCCGUCUCCAGCACAUUUCACAAAAAAUGAAGCCGAACAGUCCCACACAAACACGUCAGGUCAAGGUGUAGCUUAUGAGAUGGAAGAGGCGGACCACAAUACCACAACACACAGAAACCCCAUUGAAACAUGAGGUGAAAGACGAAUUUAGCAGUAAGCGGGGCCGAAUGCCCCGCUGAACAAACCACGCCCUAGAGUACGCACACACCGCCCGUCACCCU